CAACAGCUCUGGGAGGCUAAAACUUGAGUAGGCACAGCAAACGAAAUCAGGACACUUGGCUUUGACUCCUAGUUUAGUCACAACUUACUCUGCACAUGUGUGUGCAUGCUCAGUUACUUAGCUGUGUCUGAUUCUUUUGCAACCCCAUGAACUGGAGCCCACUAGGCUCCUCUGUCCAUGGAACAUUCCGGGCAAGAACACUGGAGUGGGAUGCCAUAUCCUCCGAUAGGACAUCUUCCCGACUCAGGGACUGAACCUGCAGCCCCUUCACUGGCAGGCAGACUCUUUACCACUGACUGUGCUGCAGAACCCUUAAUAAAAGGGAAGAUGGAGAAGAGACUGAGGUUGGAGCUCUGGAUCUCAUUCAUUCCUCUUUUCAUCAGGGUGGAACCACUUGCACAUCUUUUGUGUGGCAUCAAGAUGGUGACUGCAGCCAUGAAAUUAAAAGACACUUACUCCUUGGAAGAAAAGUUAUGACCAACCUAGAUAGCAUAUUCAAAAGCAGAGACAUUACUUUGCCGACUAAGGUCCGUCUAAUCAAGGCUAUGGUUUUUCCUGUGGUCAUGUAUGGAUGUGAGGGUUGGACUGUGAAGAAGGCUGAGCGCUGAAGAAUUGAUGCUUUUGAACUGUGGUGUUGGAGAAGACUCUUGAGAGUCCCUUGGACUGCAGGGAGAUCCAACCAGUCCAUUCUGAAGGAGAUUAACCCUGGGAUUUCUUUGGAAGGAAUGAUGCUAAAGCUGAAACUCCAGUACUUUGGCCACCUCAUGCGAAGAGUUGACUCAUUGGAAAAGACUCUGAUGCUGGGAUGGAUUGCGGGCAGGAGGAGAAGGGGAUGACAGAGGAUGAGAUGGCUGGAUGGCAUCACAGACUCGAUGAACUUGAGUCUGAGUGAACUCCGGGAGAUGGUGAUGGACAGGGAGGCCUGGCGUGCUGCGAUUCAUGGGGUCACGAGGAGCUGGACACGACUGAGCGACUGAACUGAACUGAACUGAACUGAUUUAUAACCAUA